rnacentral:rRNA from 1 species
ACGAAGGGGGCUAGCGUUGCUCGGAAUCACUGGGCGUAAAGGGUGCGUAGGCGGGUUUUUAAGUCAGAGGUGAAAUCCUGGAGCUCAACUCCAGAACUGCCUUUGAUACUGAGAAUCUUGAGUACGGGAGAGGUGAGUGGAACUGCGAGUGUAGAGGUGAAAUUCGUAGAUAUUCGCAAGAACACCAGUGGCGAAGGCGGCUCACUGGCCCGUUACUGACGCUGAGGCACGAAAGCGUGGGGAGCAAACAGG